UAAGAGGAAGUGUUGUCAAGGCUUCAUUGGCAGGACAGCAAGAAGGAUUGCGGUGGUGACUUGGAGACUUAGGAGGAAAAGGCAGCAUCUGGGUGCUUUCAGAGUGGAGUUGAUGGCAGUGGGGGGUAGGAUGAUGCAGAUCUUCAGAGCUGUGCUGAGGCCUCAGUUCUAGGGAGGGACUGGGAAACACUGACCAUGAAAAAUGGAUUUGAAGUGGAGUGGGCUUCCAUUGCAGGGGAUCAAUGAAUAAGGGAGAAGAUGCAGCAGAAGGCAGAAGCUCUCAAGUAUAGAAAGGAUAUCUGUAAAGAGGAAGGAAAUAGUCUUUCUUUUAUGAGAGGGCAAUAAAAGACUAAUGUUGCAGUUGAAAAUAUGUGUGUG